CUGCGAUCCGGAGUUGGUGGAGAUUUGACUGACAGGGAUGGUGGCUGCUUUCUGGAGCUCCAGCUUCAAUGUUUUUGUCUGAGUCCAAAACGCCACAUCCGCAGGUGCGACUGCUGUGGGCUCACCUGGGCGUCUUUGGGGGACUGGAGCUGCUGGCAGGCCUGAGCGCAGCGAGCUGCAGAGUUCUGCAGCUCUUUGUACCACUUCAUGGUGCCGUCUUCAGCGCUGUUCUGCAGCCCUGCUGGGAGAGUUCUGGUGAGAGCCUUUACACGCGGUUUUAUCGGGAAUCUAAAGGCCGUGGCUUCUGUUUUAAGGGUGGAAGAAUCGGAGUUGUCGGUUUAGAUGGAGGCAUUAGUAGUUGGUUACGGAUGUUUGAAACACUUACAUUCAUCACCUCCAGUCUCCCGGGAUAAGGACGAUACCACGUACUUUUAAAGGUGACUCAUCUUUACACAUCAUUCUCUGUAUUUGACGUUUUUCUCCUCAGUGAAAUAACAAUUCACCUUUUUUCUGAGCCUUUUCUUUGGCCGCCUGCUCUGCCUUCCUCUUCGCCUCCUGCUGUGCCUGAACCUGCUCCUCCUUCCUGCGCUGCUCCUCCUGCUCUUGCUCCUUCUUUCUUUCCUGAGCUCGGACCAGCUCCUGCUGCAUCUGCCUGAUCAGGGCUCUCAUAUCCAGGAGGGUUCGCUCUGCCACGGUCAUGUCCUCCAUGCUGGGGAACUCCCCCUGCAGAGAGAAAAGCAGAAAAAGGUUAAAAUACUACAACUUUAGAGGGGCUGUGUGUAUGUUCAUGUAUUUUAUUGUAAUCAAAUGCAUCUGAAGGAGAUUCUAUAGGAGAAAAGCUGCUGUUAUGCUAUAAAUGUCUGCAGGACGAAGGGCUUGAACAGUCAGGGGCUACCUCGGCCGUCUUCCUCGCGACCUCUGAAACCUGGGAGCACAGAUGGUUCCCGCGGGCGCUGUAGGAGCCAAGGCUGCUGGCUGAGAGCUCAGAGUCGGUCUGGGAGGACGGCUCCAGCAGCUGGUUGAGCUGCAGGAUCUCCUCCUGGAUGUUGUUGAGGUUACGCAGUCGCUCCCUGCCCUCCGUCUGCCUCUGCUUCUCAAGCUCUGCCUCCCUUAAACGUAGGUUCAUGAGCUGAAGAGCAAAGAAAAUGUCGUCUAUUGGAUUUUAUUCUUUCACAGAGAACAAGUGAAUAAAUACUAACGCACACCGACACAAAGAACUUGACGUCAGAGUUGGAUCAUUCUGCAGAGGUCUAAACGUGCCUUUCUGCUUUUCUCCCUUUGUUCUUGUAUUAUUCUGUUUUCUCAGCUUUAGACAGAAUCUACUAAACGUGUGCUUUCUACACAGUUCAUCCUACCCUCGUUCUGUGCCUCUGCUCCUCCUUCAGUUUCUCUUGACGGCCCAUGAUCUCUUUGAUUCUGAAAAGGAAGAAAGAAAACUAUCUUUUAUAUAAUGCCUCUCAAGAUAAAAAUCACGAGGCGCUUCACAAACACACAAAAAAAAAAAGAUUACAAAUACCGUAAAUCCUCUAAUAUUAAUUAGCCUGUAUUUAAUUAACUGCCGGGUAUCAUAUUUUGGCCGGUGUCGGAGUCGGCGGAGGUGAAUAAUGGCCGGUUUUUUAUUGUGGCCGGGUGGAAUGUGGUAACAAGCAAGUACGGGGGGCGGUUGUGUCAUCCGUCUCACUUUUGAUUUGCCAGUGAUAGACCGCGAGGGUAACUUUAACCGUGCGGAGACGAAGAGGAGGCGAAAAUCCCUUUGAUAUCAAGUUCAAAGAGAACGUGCUGAUUAUGCUGCAGAACACUCCGGGGAGCAGUAGCAGGGGUUGUAUGAACUAGUCACUAGUCUACUUCACCGCUCUAUAGUGACUUUUUAUGCCUGUCAUCGACUAGUCGCUGUCACGUGAUAAUGACCGGCAAGAUGUAGUCCACGGAAAAGACAGCAGCCUGCUGUCAGCAGGUGACAAGCUCCUGCGCGUCGGGAGGCAACGCGCUGUGCCAGAGCGUCGGUACCGACACCCGCCGUAAAACGGACAUUUAACCAAAUUGUGACCUUUACCCUCUUGCAAUUUAACCUUCCCCUCACCCCCAUCCUAACCUUAACCAGCCUGCGCAUGCAAAGCUCUGAUUGUUGACGUGCUCCAGACAUCUGCGUCCUGAGCACGGCCACAGUAACAUUAUCAAAUCAGGCGUCGCCACCUCAAAAACUAAUUUAACACGCGAUCGUUCAUGUCGGCUCAUUUCCUUUUAUGUUUUCUGUCUUUUUUUCUUUUAUUUGUGCCUGAUGCCUUUCGCUGCUGUGGAUCGGGGCGCAUCACCUGUUUUGUCCUCCGGUGACGCACCGACCACUGAUGCGGCCAGCGAGCACUCUGCUGUUUUUGCGGUCGGUAGAUCUUUUAGAACUGCAGUUCAAAGGUAACUCAUAAGGUGAAUAUAUAUGAACCCAGGUAGCAGUUUCUCUUUAGGAUUGAGAGGAGAUGCAGGAAGAUAAUAAACAGGACAAAAAAAUAGACAAAUAAAAACAAGUUAGUUUUUGUACCUGGUGGUUGCAACAAACAGACACCAUUGAAGGUAAUCAGAAGUGAGGAACAGAAAAUGAAAUAAUUAUUUUAAUGUUUAGAGCAGCAGGAACUCUGAGAGGCUGCAGGCGCAUCAGUGAGUUUGCGCAGGGGGGAGAUGGCUGAAGCAGAAACUACCGUUGUUAAAAGAAAUGUGUUUAACUUUGAAAAUGUGGGCGCAAUAUUAAUUGUCAAAAACUCCAGCGAACCUUUAGCUCAUUUUGCUCAAAUAGAAAUUGAGGCAUGCCUCUAAUACUGGCCCUCAUUCCAAUAAAGGCCUGGAGCUUGAUGAGCUUGAGUCAAAUACAGGCCCGGGCCUGUAUUAGAGGAUUUACGGUAUAUUUAAAGAGCAAGUCACCCCCAAAUCAACUUUUUUUCCCUGAUAAACUAUAUAAAUGCGUGUCUAAUCAUGCUGCAGACACGUGUAGUCAAUAGUUUUGCACUUUAGUGCAUUUUAGUUCAAAUUUAAAUGUUCUGCCUAAAACUGUCAGUGUUGUGCCGUUGUCAGGUAAAAACUCUGCACUGCAUUUGAAUCUAAAUCUGCCAUCGCUAUUGGCUAAGAGGUAUCCUAGAACGUUAGCUGGUACCAUAUGAUGUCACAAUGUUGUGUGUGUGUGUGUUUUUGUUAGUGGCUCUGCCCUCUCGGUCUCCCAGACAACAGCAUUUGUUGCAUUUUUCAAACAUGAAGUGGGAGCGGAGCAAUACUCUGGUAGGGGGUGACUUGCUCUUUAAAAUGAGAAAAAAUAUUGUGAUUAAAGAAUGGAAGGAAAGGGAGAGAGAAAACGAACAGGAAAGAGGGAAAUCAGUGGAUCCCAGGAAUAGGUAGAAAGAGCAGAAUAAGGAGAGGGUGGUGACAAAGGUCACACCAAAGCCUGAACAGGUGAGUUUUCAGCUGCUUGUUAAAGGAGACCACUGAGUCCACUGGAGGAGAGAGUUCCAGAAAGCCAGACCGUUUGGGUCACACGUACAACACUCAGAAACAUAAAACUAGAGGUGUUGGCCACCACGCUGCUCUGUGCUCACUCUCGGUCCAUCAUGUCCCUCAUACUCUGGAACUCCUGCCUCUGCUUCAGCUCCAUGAGCUCCUCAAAGCGUUUUAGCUGCUCUGACUCAGCGUUGGCAGCAGCCUCCACCAGCUUCUCCUGCUCCUCCUGUCGCAACCUGAGCGCCAUCUAAGCAGGGAGGACACGGGACAAACAGGACAGUCGGUCACUAAAAGCAUAGCCUUGAAAGGUCAUCUGUGUCAGACUAUUUAGAAUAUUUAAAUUGCUGGUUCUUAAGACAACUGGACUUAUUUACAAACAAUCAAAGCAGUGAAUGUCAUUUUUUAACCCGUCAAAUGCAUCUUUACAGUUCUUUAAAAUGGCAAAAUAAAAUAAUCUAAGACUUUGGUUAUCCUCCCAGGUUUCCAGACAACUAGCAGGUGGGGAUGUGUGCUGGUGAAAUUCUAGUGAUACGAUACAAGGGAGACAAUACGAUAUCUUCAGUCAAACGAUAUUAACUACUUUUUUAGACUGAAAUUAUUGUAGGACAAUUCAAUAAACAGUCCAAACUGUUUAACAUGAGGUAUCUUUUUUUUAAGAACUUUUAUUGAACCUUUGCAAAACGAACAAAAGCGACUAUAUUUCAAAAUUUGUUAGCAGAAUGACAUUACAGAGUAGCUCCGAAGUUCGUGUUCAUCUCAACUUGCAUUUUGUGGAUACAAUUCAACUUGGUAUAGUAAGAAGACAAUAAACAAAAAUAACAACCACAAAAAAACAAAAAUAGAACAUGAAAGGAUACAAGUAAGACAACAUGAAAAAACAAAUUAUAUGUAUCUAAAUAAAGUUUUACAAGGGGGAAGUUAAAGAGCAAACAAGGUCUAUUGUGUAUACCAUCCAAAAAGCAGUUAGAGAUUAGUGUUCAUAAUGAAAUCAUAAAGCUUUAUAGCAUUGGGGGUGGACAUUUUACCUAAGGAUCUCAACAGCAGUUUAAUUUCAUUUUUGAUAUUAUUCCACGUAGGUGGAUUUUUGAGAUAUCGGCAUUUGUGUAUGAAAAAUUUUGUUAAGAUUAUGAGAUUAUUAAUUAGAAAUUCAUUCUUUUUAUCUUUUAGUAUAAUGCCAAAUAAGAUAUCUUCAACUGUGAAAUUGUUUAUAUAAAUUUGAUUGGAGUUCAGCCAAUCCUCGAGUGAAUUCCACAUGAUUAGAAUUUUAUCACAUUCAAAGAAUAGAUGUUUGGUCGAUUCAUCGUUUUGUUUGCAUAAGUAACAUUUUUCCACAUUGAACUUAAAUCUAGUUUGUAUAAAAUGGUUAGAUGGGUAAAUAUCAUUCAAGGUUUUAAAAUGGACUUCUUUAUACUUUGGGGGUAAAGAGAAUUUUAGAUACAUGAGGUAUCUGACCACAGAGGGAUUUACAUUUCAGUGGUGGAAACAAAACUCAUUGCACACUGCUGCCAACUAGCGGUCGUCAUUUGAACUGCACCAAAAGAAAAGAAAAUAGUACACAAACGUUUGCACGGAAAUUCUUCCAAAAACUUGAUGCACGGUUUUUCAAUAUCGAUAUAUCGCAGGAAACAUUUUUGUGAUGUAUUGCCAUAUCGAUAUUUUCUUACAUCCCUACUAGCAGGUGUUUAAAAGUACUAAGUCAAGAGAAGACAGCAAGCUUCUCGAAACAAAUGUGCAGUUUUGGAGACACACGACAUGCCUGGAGUAAAACAUACAGCACCGCGUGCUCGAAUCCGGUCAUUAAUGGUUGGUGAGGUAAAACCAAUUCAGCUAGUUUAAAGGGACUUUACGGAGUUUUGAAUUUUUAUGCUCGCAAUUGCCCCCUCAGGCCAAAAGCGUAACGGCAGCAUCAAUGGUAGGCUCGUGCACGAGGCGCGCAUGCUGUACUUGCACACUCCUUAAUGAAAAUAACAGCUGAGACAGUCCCUUGUGUGUGUGUGUGUGUGUGGCCCGGAGGACAGAGGACAGGAGAACAUGCAGCUAAUUAAUUAAAUAAUUUGGUUCUGUACCUUUCUCUUCAGCACAGCCGACAAAGGUUUAAGAUGGGUCAGUCCUCCUGCAUGCUCAGAUCAUUCCCUUCCCUUGCUUGAAAAAUUGUUCCUGAAUAAAAGUUGAACCCACAUCUUUUUUAUUUGUGAAUUCAAUGCCGUUCGGCGAGUCUCAAAUAAAAAUUUGGCCAUCUUACUGUAAGAAAAUAUACCAUUAAUGUAAAAAAGAAAAUCUAAAUGAACUAUGUUCACAUCCAGAAUCAAACUCGGAUCUUCUGCAUGAGAGUCCAACGUUUAACUAGGUGAGCUAAAACGCCAGUAAUGUCUUUCGUGUCUGUAACAUUUAUAUCCUUGAUGACAGCUGAAACAACGUUCAAAGAACGGUUCGGAGCGAAAAUGGCUAUUUUGUUGCUAAUUUGCAGGAAACAUCUACAAGAAAGUUCUACAGAAAGUAGCUAAGGGUCCUCAGAAAUGUAGCUAGCUUUGUCACUAGGCGUUAGGAACAGCGACAAAGUGGCACUGCCUCUCUCUCUGCUGCUAAAGCUCCGGAUAGCAAAUGCUACGGGCGAUGCCUGAGCGUGAACGUGCAUGAAGCAGCCUGCUCGACCCGAGCAUCUCUCUUUUUCUGUGAUUUUACAGAAAAACAGGCAAUCACAGUAAAAAUGCCAGGGCUCAUUCUACAGGACCAGGGCAUUGCAGGAGAAUGUAUGAAGAAGACAUUUAUUAUUUCUAUACAUGUUUUGGCUGUCACACUUCCAUAAUGCCCCUUUAAAUAUUGUAAUUGUUUGUAUGUGGGGGUUGUACAAAUCCUCAAAGCAAAUAGUUGUUUGUGGUUUUAAAAAACCUUCUAUGACCACAAAUAUCCAAGAUGCAGAAUAAAGGAAUCUCUGCCUGACCUUUGCCUUUUUCCGCUGCCCUUCUUCAAACAGGAUGAUGCAUCCGGCGGUCUCCAUGGCUUUAGGAGACAGCAGGGACAUGACAGGCAAUGGCACGGGAUUGGAAACGUCGCUGACGUCAUCUGCCUCUGGACUUUCACUCUGCACCUCAUCACAAACAGUCUGCAGCACAUCAAGUUGAGAUGGUGACAAAGUAUUCACAAAAGCUCAUCCAAAGAUUCUCCAGCAGAGACAAACAUCCCAGUCAGAGCAGUUUACAUUCAAAGUGCUGUACCUGGUCGUAAUCAUGGUUUAGCGAAAGAGCUGAAGAGAGGAUGCGGUGUUUGAGAUCGUUGACGGAGCUUGUAGAGGAACCUGAGGCUGGAGUUUCUUCUGCUGUGAUUCUCUGAUCCAGGAAGGAGGACUUCUGUAGGGACACUGGAUCGAUCCGCUCCAGUAUGACCCUGGCGUGUGACGAUAACCCGAGGGUCUCUGUACAUCCAGCUAAAAUAUGCUACAAGAACACGACACAGGUCAAACCCACAGCUAGACUAGAUAAAACAACUUCUGAAUCCAAGUAAACCAUCCCCUAAACUGAUAAAUGACCUUUAUUCCAUAAGCAAACAGUCAUUAAAUCAGUUAAGAUUCGGAGAGAUUUAACCGUUUGUAUAUAUCUUUAUUUUCACACUACUGUCAUUGUCUCUUUUUGUGCUGAUUAUUAUUCUGCAUUUUUUGCUUUAGCGUGUUAUAUUGUGUUUGUUUUCUGGUGAAUUGCACCGAGAGUUCGGAAGAAAGGCUAAGUUCUGGUUCUGUUAGCUAAACAGCCUUGUCAAACAACUGCAUGGAAUGAUUUUAUGAAAUGUUGGUGAAUGUAUAUGUUUGAAAUAAAACGAACUGAACUGA